CCUCUAGAGAGCAGGGAGUGGCCCUCAAAGGAGCGGGUCUGGGGACUCCUCGAGCCUCAUCUCUGUCCCUAGGACGCUCCUGCCGCCUGCCUGGCCACCCCUCUCUAUCACUACCCCUGGCAUCUAUUCUUUCCCAUCCUUCUCUUUGAGGCACCUCCCAGGGCCUCAUUGGCACCGCGGUGCCUGGUGCACUACCCUGGACCAGAUCCACAAACGUCAGAUGAUGAGAGGAGGAGAAACGACUUGCAAUCGCCAAGUCCAUUUUACAGGGUUGAGACUCUCAGCCAGGGUCUUCAAUACCUUCUCACUGAACUCCCCCUCCCUGUGACCCUACAAAAGACCCCAUAGCAGCUGGUCUGGUCUCUAGUGCCAGAGUGAUCUCUCUCAGGAGGCUGUAUAGAGGUGUUAAGGGGGACUCUCAACUUUUUGGUCAAAGCCGCAGGACAGAUGGUGAUGUUCUCCACCCACACAGGGAACCAUGGAGGAGGACCAGAG
ensembl:lncRNA